GGGCUCUUAGCUCAGUUGGUUAGAGCGCUACCUUGACAUGGUAGAGGUCACAGGUUCGAAUCCUGUAGAGCCCA
rnacentral:tRNA from 1 species